UACAGAGGGUGCGAGCGUUGUUCGGAAUUAUUGGGCGUAAAGCGCGUGUAGGCGGCGACGUAUGUCGGGUGUGAAAGCCCUCGGCUCAACCGGGGAAGUGCGCCCGAAACUACGUUGCUAGAGUGCUGGAGAGGGUAGCGGAAUUCCGGGUGUAGAGGUGAAAUUCGUAGAUAUCCGGAGGAACACCAGUGGCGAAGGCGGCUACCUGGACCAAUACUGACGCUCAUGUGCGAAAGCGUGGGGAGCAAACAGG
rnacentral:rRNA from 1 species